GGGGUUGUGGCUCCGUGGUAGAGCGCUCACCUCGCAUGUGCGUAGACCCUGGGUUCGAUCCUCAGCACCACA
rnacentral:tRNA from 1 species